rnacentral:rRNA from 1 species
GAUGAACGCUGGCGGCGUGCUUAACACAUGCCAGUCGAACGAAGCACUUUAUUUGAUUUCCUUCGGGACUGAUUAUUUUGUGACUGAGUGGCGGACGGGUGAGUAACGCGUGGGUAACCUGCCUUGUACAGGGGGAUAACAGUUGGAAACGGCUGCUAAUACCGCAUAAGCGCACAGCAUCGCAUGAUGCAGUGUGAAAAACUCCGGUGGUAUAAGAUGGACCCGCGUUGGAUUAGCUAGUUGGUGAGGUAACGGCCCACCAAGGCGACGAUCCAUAGCCGACCUGAGAGGGUGACCGGCCACAUUGGGACUGAGACACGGCCCAAACUCCUACGGGAGGCAGCAGUGGGGAAUAUUGCACAAUGGGCGAAAGCCUGAUGCAGCGACGCCGCGUGAGCGAAGAAGUAUUUCGGUAUGUAAAGCUCUAUCAGCAGGGAAGAUAAUGACGGUACCUGACUAAGAAGCACCGGCUAAAUACGUG